rnacentral:lncRNA from 1 species
UCUGAUCUCUGAGUAUCCAAGUUUGUUGUGUUAUUAUUACCUAACAUGACUGCAAGGAUUUGCAGAUCAAGUGCGUCCCGCUUGAAGACAAUUUGAGACACUAUUUGGUUCCGUCAAAUUCUAAAGUGCAAAGUAUAGUUUGAGUCUUCAUAAUUGAGACACAACCAAUAGGAAGAAACCCCUACCAUAGUAUACAACUAUACA